UGGUGGAGUGAUUUGUCUGGUUAAUUCCGUUAACGAACGAGACCUCAGCGUAUUGGUCGUGCGCGUCGUACGUUUGUACGGCGUGCGGAUUGAGACGGACGAUCGGUGUUUAGCCGAUGGAAGUUUGAGGCAAUAACA
rnacentral:rRNA from 1 species